rnacentral:rRNA from 1 species
GUGCCAGCAGCCGCGGUAAUACGUAGGGAGCGAGCGUUGUCCGGAAUCAUUGGGCGUAAAGGGCGCGUAGGCGGUUUUUUAAGUCAAAUGUGAAAAUCCAGGGCUUAACUCUGGGACUGCGUUUGAAACUGAAAGACUAGAGAUCAGGAGAGGAAAGUGGAAUUCCUAGUGUAGCGGUGAAAUGCGUAGAUAUUAGGAAGAACAUCGAUGGCGAAGGCAGCUUUCUGGCCUGACACUGACGCUGAGGCGCGAAAGCGUGGGGAGCAAACAGGAUUAGAUACCCUGGUAGUCCACGCCGUAAACGAUGGAUACUAGGUGUAGGGGGUUCGAUUCCCUCUGUGCCGCAGUUAACGCAAUAAGUAUCCCGCCUGGGGAGUACGGUCGCAAGAUUGAA